rnacentral:rRNA from 1 species
CACGUAGGGCGCGAGCGUUUGUCCGGAAUUAUUGGGCGUAAAGAGCUCGUAGGCGGCCUGUUGCGUCCGCUGUGAAAGCCCGGGGCUUAACCCCGGGUCGGCAGUGGAUACGGGCAGGCUAGAGGUAGGUAGGGGAGAAUGGAAAUUCCCGGUGUAGCGGUGAAAUGCGCAGAUAUCGGGAGGAACACCGGUGGCGAAGGCGGUUCUCUGGGCCGUGUACUGACGCUGAGGAGCGAAAGCGUGGGGAGCGAACAGG